rnacentral:rRNA from 1 species
GACGAACGCUGGCGGCGUGCCUAAUACAUGCAAGUAGAACGCAGUUGCGAACGGGUGAGUAACGCGUAGGUAACUGCCUCAUAGCGGGGAAUAACUAUUGGAAACGAUAGCUAAUACCGCAUACUGCGAGAUGGACCUGCGUUGUAUUAGCUAGUUGGUGAGGUAAAGGCUCACCAAGGCGACGAUGCAUAGCCGACCUGAGAGGGUGAUCGGCCACCCUGGGACUGAGACACGGCCCAGACUCCUACGGGAGGCAGCAGUAGGGAAUCUUCGGCAAUGGACGGAAGUCUGACCGAGCAACGCCGCGUGAGUGAAGAAGGUUUUCGGAUCGUAAAGCUCUGUUGUUAGAGAAGCGGUAGCUACCCAGAAAGGGACGGCUAACUACGUGCCAGCAGCCGCGGUAUAC